GACGAACGCUGGCGGCGUGCCUAAUACAUGCAAGUAGAACGCACAGUUUAUACCGUAGCUUGCUACACCAUAGACGGUGAGUUGCGAACGGGUGAGUAACGCGUAGGUAACCUGCCUGGUAGCGAGGGAUAACUAGUGGAAACGAUAGCUAAUACCGCAUGAUAUUGAUUAUUGCAUGAUAAUUGAUUGAAAGUUGCUAUUGCAUCACUACCAGAUGGACCUGCGGUGUAUUAGCUAGUAGGUGAGGUAACGGCUCACCUAGGCGACGAUACAUAGCCGACCUGAGAGGGUGAUCGGCCACACUGGGACUGAGACACGGCCCAGACUCAUACGGGAGGCAGCAGUAGGGAAACUUCGGCAAUGAACGAAAGUCUGACCGAGCAACGCCGCGUGAGUGAAGAAGGUUUUCGGGUCGUAAAGCUCUGUUGUAAGAGAAGAAAGGGUGUGAGAGUGGAAAGUUCACACUGUGACGGUAUCUUACCAGAAAGGGACGGCUAACUACGUG
rnacentral:rRNA from 1 species